AAGCUUAUAGUGAAUAGGAUAACACGCCAGAAUACGACUCUGGGAAUAUGGGUUCGAGUCCUGUUAAGCUUAC
rnacentral:tRNA from 1 species